UAAUACGUAGGGGGCAAGCGUUGUCCGGAAUUAUUGGGCGUAAAGAGUGUGUAGGCGGCUUGGUAAGUCUGCUCUGAAAGCCAGGGGCUCAACCCCUGGAGGCGGGUGGAUACUGUCAAGCUUGAGUCCGGAAGAGGCGAGUGGAAUUCCCGGUGUAGCGGUGAAAUGCGCAGAUAUCGGGAGGAACACCAAUGGCGAAGGCAGCUCGCUGGGACGUGACUGACGCUGAGACACGAAAGCGUGGGGAGCAAACAGG
rnacentral:rRNA from 1 species